CUUUAAGUCUUUACCGGUUUAGACAUAAACUAAUACAAUCAAUCAAUCAGCUCUUAAAUUAGCAAGCGGUGUGGUGUUUUGUGUUGGGAUGAACGUUAAGAGGAUAAAUUAGUAUAACGGAAUCUUAUCGGGAAAGAGAUGCUUGAUGGUGCUUGCUCCUGAUCGUACCGUAUGGAUGAUCAGACCAAAGUUGUGGUAUGUCAAAGAAUGAACUAUGUGCAUGUGCGUUAGAGGGGAGAGGGACAUAUGACGGGGAAGCAGUGAAUACAGCAUAGAUAUAACUUCUGGCGUGCAACGAGGACAGUAUUUUAAGACAUCUAUAGCAUCUACGUUGACAAAUUAUUCGUAGCUUACAGUUCUGUUUUUAAGAAACAAAAUAAUAAAAACCAAAGUAAAAAAUAGAAAAAAAGGAAUGUAUACAAUGUACAAUUGAUCAUACACCGUUCCAUACAUUCAAUAGGUUAACAAGAUGAGGACAAAAUACAACUAGGAUUCUAACUAAGUUUAAUAGCAUUGUUUAUGAAUUUUGCUGUAUUUCGUACUUUACUUUCUCUCUUUUCAGACAUAAUGUAUUUGAAUUUUGUAAUAUUUGGCCAGUUCGAUGGAAUGUGAUAAUAUUUCCUCAGAUCUGAAUAGGCAGUACAACAUAAUAGAAAGUGGUAUUCCGA